rnacentral:misc_RNA from 1 species
UUCCUGAUUUUCCCAUCGUUCGGGGCAUUCUGGGGCUGUUUUGGCUAUUGGUUGCUUGUUUGGUCUUGAGCUGAACGGGUGGCUUCUAGCCUGGUGGCUUCGGGGAUGUUGACCGUAAAGGUGGAUGAGUGGUGUUUGGUUUGUUACGUGUGGUUGGCUGCGGCAUUUGCAACAACUUCCAUGCUUUCAGACCUCUUCAUUUGUGCGGCAAGGCUUGUAUCACCUUGAGCGUAUUGUGGGUUUUCUGUGUUGAAUACCUAAUCAAUGGUAUCGGUUGGAUUGAUCAAUGUUUCAUUUCGUCUGUCGUCGCAUUCGCGGCGUGAGAUGAACCUUGAUGCGGUCUCUUUGAUCCACCUCGUUGAAGUGCAUGCUUUGACGUUGUGGCGCAUUGAGGAUUGCUUGGUCUCUUGUAUGCGGAACAUGUAGCGGGCAUGAAUUUCACGAUUCUCGUUUGCCCUCAUAUUAGCGUAACGCUUCUCUUACACGACUUGCUCCACGUUUNAG